rnacentral:rRNA from 1 species
AUGAACGCUAGCGGCAGGCUUAAUACAUGCAAGUCGAGGGGCAUCAAGGUACACGAAAGUGUAUUGUUGGCGACCGGCGGACGGGUGAGUAAUAGGUAGGUAACCCUACCUCAUACUGAGGCAUAGCUGGGAGAAAAUUCCAGGUAAUUCCUCAUGAGGUUAUAUGACACAUGUGAUAUAAAUCAAAGGUAUCGCAAGGUACUGGUAUGAGAUGGGCUUACUGACUAUUAGCUAGUUGGUGAGAUAAGAGCUCACCAAGGCGAAGAUGGUUAGGGGUUUUGAGAGAGAGAUCCCCCACAUUGGAACUGAGAUACGGUCCAGACUCCUACGGGAGGCAGCAGUAGGGAAUAUUGGGCAAUGGGCGGAAGCCUGACCCAGCCAUGCCGCGUGAAGGAAGACGGCCUUAUGGGUUGUAAACUUCUUUACUACGCGAAUAGAGGUUAGUACGAGAUACUAAUAGGAAGGUAGUGUAGUAAAAAGCACCGGCUAACUCCGUG